GGAGAAAGUCGAGAGGGAGGGAAGAGGAGGCGGUCCUGAUUCUCCACUUUACUGCCCAUUCCUUCUCCCUUGCUGAAACAUCCAGCCGGUGCCUUUGUGGCCUCUUGGGCUGGGUUGCAAUCUCAUGCCAACCCGCUUGCCGGUUGUCAGGAGGCCUCUGGGGAGGACGCUGCAGGAGCCUCAAACGCCACCUACUCCCGGCCUCUCUCCCGGUUGAUGUUUCUAUUUUGGGCACCACAUUAUUUCCUGCUGUGAUUUUUUUUUUCAGGCUUCUAAUUCAGGCUCUGAGGAAUGGGAGUCCAACGCUUCCGUGUCCGAAGUCUGUUUAACUAUAUUUGGACAAUGACCCUUUAGAGAUGCUGAUAAAGGCUACACAGAAUCCCAGAAACUGUCCACAACAAACUCACAGAUUCUGCCAUCUCUGCCCUGCUGAACCCCAAGUGAUCUAGACCAUGAGAGGUGUUUACAGAUCACUCACCACCCUCUCAUCUCCUUACAACAUCCAAUCUCAAAGGAAAAAAAGAAAAGAAAAAGGAGGAAGAGGAGGAGGAAGAGGGGGAGGAAGAGGAAGAAGAGGAGGAGGAGCAGCAGCAGCAGCAGCAGCAGGUUUUUGACCCAAUCCUCCAUCCCUUCUCCCCACAGCUCUCCCCAGUCUGUUUUUGAGAGUUUUCUUGGAUUAAAAAGAAAACUUAUCUGUUGUAGAAGACAAUGGUUUCCUUUGCAGACCUUGCACUUGGGUCAUUCCUGAUGAAUUACAUGGUAACUAUAGAACUCAUUUCAUGGUCAAAUAUUAACUCCAUUUGUAAAAUUGGGCCUAUGCAUUUUCUUUGAAUCUAUAAUCUUUAAUUAUCUGGACUGAUAGUUAAAUAUACAAAUGACACUAGAAAAAUUUGUUUCAAAAUUAACUAAAGCUUUCAGUUUCUUUACCCAAA
rnacentral:lncRNA from 1 species